GACGAACGCUGGCGGCGUGCUUAACACAUGCAAGUCGAACGGACAGGCCCUGCUUUUGUGGGGUGCUCGAGUGGCGAACGGGUGAGUAACACGUGAGUAACCUGCCCUUGACUUUGGGAUAACUUCAGGAAACUGGGGCUAAUACCGGAUAGGAGCUCCUGCUGCAUGUUGGGGGUUGGAGAGUUUCGGCGGUUGGGGAUGGACUCGCGGCUUAUCAGCUUGUUGGUGGGGUAGUGGCUUACCAAGGCUGUGACGGGUAGCCGGCCUGAGAGGGUGACCGGCCACAUUGGGACUGAGAGACGGCGCAGACUCCUACGGGAGGCAGCAGGGGGGAAUAUUGCACAAUGGGCGGAAGCCUGAUGCAGCAACGCCGCGUGCGGGAUGACGGCCUUCGGGUUGUAAACCGCUUUCGCCUGUGACGAAGCGUGAGUGACGGUAAUGGGUAAAGAAGCACCGGCUAACUACGUG
rnacentral:rRNA from 1 species